CUGGUGUCGUACUAACAUACAAAAAGGAAUGUCAUUCCGUCGAAAUAGGCGCUUGCGGCUAGUGAGAGAUUCGCUUUUUAUGUCUUCCGGAAUUCGACCACUCACGCUCUUCGUCUUGAGCACAUCGUAUAUAGUAGUCUAGUGAGGAUGGAGACAAAUAAACCGUUAGUCUGAAAACCACACUCAUUAAGCGAAGGCAAGAGGCGAUUUCUUUUCGACCACAACAAGGCAAGCGUAAUAAAGAGUAAUCUCUGCAUCCAAAAAAAAUGCCUUAACUGUAAAACUGACAAAUUUAUAAAAUACAAAUGGGAAUUGCAAAGCAUAA